UACGAAGGGGGCUAGCGUUGCUCGGAAUCACUGGGCGUAAAGGGUGCGUAGGCGGGUCUUUAAGUCAGGGGUGAAAUCCUGGAGCUCAACUCCAGAACUGCCUUUGAUACUGGCGAUCUCGAGUCCGGGAGAGGUGAGUGGAACUGCGAGUGUAGAGGUGAAAUUCGUAGAUAUUCGGAAGAACACCAGUGGCGAAGGCGACUCACUGGCCCAUUACUGACGCUGAGGCGCGAAAGCGUGGGGAGCAAACAGG
rnacentral:rRNA from 1 species